AUACUUACCUGGCGUAGGGUGAUACCGUGAUCAAGUAGGCGGUUCCUCCAGGGCGAGGCUGCUCCAUUGCACUGCGGAACGGUUGACCCUUGCGAUUACCCUUAAUGCGGGUAGCUUGGUCGCGUUAUUUUCGUAGUGGGGACUGCGUUAAAUUCUGCCGAUCUCAU
rnacentral:snRNA from 1 species